CCAAAGCGUUGACUGUUUCAUUUUCCUCCAAGACACUGCUUGACCUGCUGAGUUCCUCCAGCCUUUUAGGCAGGCUGUUUUUGACAAUUUCACAAUGAAAAAAAACUUGCAAUCAAGGAAGCUGAACUUAAAACAGCCAACAUAGCAGAAGACACAUUUGUUACAAACGUCAAGGAAAAGUUAUGUAGAAUGGCAGGACAUAUUAUUCAGGCUUGAAGAUGCCAGAAACGGCUGUGAGUGAAAAUGAAAAGAUCUCUGUACUUCACAAGCUAUGAAGGUAACAAUAAUCACUUUGAAUGUUACAAUGAAAAUG